CAGCCUCAGGAGCAGCGAAUUAAACCUCCACAAUCAACUUGAUGUACCCUGCAUCUGUGGAAUACCUGAAUAGACAACAAAUCAUCCCAAAAUUGAGUAUGCGGGCCUCUCACUGUUGUGGCCUCUCCUGUUGCAGACCACAGGCUCCGGACACGCAGGCUCAGCGGCCAUGGCUCACGGGCCCAGCCGCUCCGCGGCAUGUGGAAUAUUCCCGGACUGGGGCACAAACCCGCCUCCCCUGCAUCGGCAGGUGGACUCUCAACAACUGCGCCACCAGGGAAGCCCUAAUUUUUAUCCUUUUUCUCUUUUUGUGAGUGUGUAUGUGUAUGCUUCUUUUUGUGAUUUGUCUGUAUAGCUUUGCUUUUGCCAUUUGUCCUAGGGUUCUGACUGUCCAUUUUGUUUGUUUGUAACUAUAGUUUUUAGCACUAUAACCAACUUUUUUGGUUUGGUUACUAUCUCCUUUCUUUCUCUCUUUUUUUAAUUUUUUAUUUUUAAUAACAUAUUUUAUUCCUUUUUUCUCUCUUCCUCCUUCCCUCAUUCCAUCUCUUCCUUCCUUCCUUCCUUUCUUUCUCCCUUUUCUUCUGAGCCGUGUGGCUGACAGGGUCUUGGUGCUCUGGCCGGGUGUCAGACCUGAGCCUCUGAGGCGGGAGAGCCGAGUUCAGGACAUUGGUCCACCAGACACCUCCAAGCCCCACAUAAUAUCAAAUGACAAAAACUCUCCCAGAGAUCUCCACCUCAAAGCUAAGACCCAGCUCCACUCAACGAUCAGCAGGCUACAGUGGUGGACACCCUAUGCUAAACAACUAGAAAGACAGGAACACAGACGCACCCAUUAACAGAGAGGCUGCCUAAAAUCAUAAUAAGUUCACAGACACCCCAAAACACACCACCAGACGUGGUCCUGCCCACCAGAAAGACAAGAUCCAGCGUCAUCCACCAGAAGGCAGGCACCAGUCCCCUCUACCAGGAAGCCUACACAACCCACUGAACCAUGCUUACCCACUAGGAGCAGACACCAAAAACAAUGGGAACUAUGAACCUGCAGCCUGUGAAACGGAGACCCCAAACACAGUAAGUUAAGCAAAAUGAGAAGACAGAGAAAUACACAGCAGAUGAAGCAGCAAGGUAAAAACCUACCAGACCAAACAAAUGGAGAGGAAAUAGGCAGUCUACCUGAAAAAGAAUUCAGAAUAAUGAUAGUAAAGAUGAUCCAAAAUCUUGGAAAUAAGAAUGGAGAAUAUACAAGAAACAUUUAACAAGGAUCUAGAAGAACUAAAGAGCAAACAAUGAUGAACAGCACAAUAAAUGAAAUUAAAAAUUCUCUAGAAGGGCUUCCCUGGUGGUGCAGUGGUUGAGAGUCCGCCUGCCGAUGCAGGGGACAUGGGUUCGUGCCCUGGUCCGGGAGGAUCCCACAUGCCGCGGAGCGGCUGGGCCCAUGAGCCAUGGCUGCUGAGCCUGUGCAUCCGGAGCCUGUGCUCCACAACGGGAGAGGCCACAACAGUGAGAGGCCCACAUACCAUUAAAAAAAAAAAAAUUCUCUAGAAGGAAUCAAUAGCAGAAUAACAGACAGAAGAAUGGAUAAGUGACCUAGAAGAUAAAAUAGUGGAAAUUACUACAGAGCAGAAUAAAGCAAAAAAAAAAAAAAAAAAGAGAAUUGAGGACAAUCUCAGAGACCUCUGGGACAACAAUAAACACACCAACAUUUGAAUGAUAGGGUUCUCAGAAGAAGAAGAAUAAAGCAAAAAAAAAAAAAGAGAAUUGAGGACAAUCUCAGAGACCUCUGGGACAACAAUAAACACACCAACAUUUGAAUGAUAGGGUUCUCAGAAGAGGGGAAAAAAAGGGACUGAGAAAAUAUUUGAAGAAAUUAUAGUUGAAAAUUUCCCUACUAUGGGUAAGGAAAUAAUCAAUCAUGUCCAGGAAAUGCAGAGAGUCCCAUACAGGAUAAAUCCAAGGAGAAACAUACCAAGACACAUAUUAAUCAAACUAUCAAAAAUUAAAUACAAAGAAAAAAUAUUAAAAGCAGCAAGGGAAAAGCAACAAUUAACAUACAAGGGAAUCCCCAUAAGGUUAACAACUGAUUUUUCAGCAGAAACGGCAAGCCAGAAGGGAGUGGCAGGAUGUAUUUAAAGUGAUGAAAGGGAAAAACCUGCAACUGAGAUUACUCUACCCAGCAAGGAUCUCAUUCAGAUUCAACAGAGAAAUUAAAACCUUUACAGACAAGCAAAAGCUAAGAGAAUACAGCACCACCAAACCAGCUCUACAAAAAAUGCUAAAGGAACUUCUCUAGGCAGGAAACACAAGAGAAAGAAAAGACUUACGAUAACAAACCCAAAACAAUUAAGAAAAUGGUAAUAGGAACAUACGUAUCAAUAAUUACCUCAAAUGUAAAUGGAUUAAAUGCUCCAACCAAAAGACAUAGACUGGCUGAAUGGAUACAAAAACAAGACCUGAAAGAACAAGAAAUGUCUAUUUAGGUCUUCUGCCCAUUCUUGGAUUGGGUUGUUUUUUUUGAUAUUGAGCUGCUUGUAUAUUUUGGAGAUUAAUCCUUUCUCAGUUCCUUCAUUUGCAAAUAUUUUCUCCCAUUCUGCGGGUUGUCUUUUCAUCUUGUUUAUGGUUUCCUUUGCUGUGCAAAAGCUUUUAAGUUUCAUUAGGUCCCAUUUGUUUAUUGUUUUUAUUUCCAUUUCUCUAGGAGGUGGGUCAAAAAGGAUCUUGCUGUGAUUUAUGUCAUGUAGUAUUCUGCCUAUGUUUUCCUCUAAGAAUUUUAUAGUGUCUGGUCUUACAUACAGGUCUCUAAUCCAUUCUGAGUUUAUUUUUGUGUAUGGUGUUAGAAAGUGUUCUAAUUUCAUUCUUUUACAUGUAGCUGUCCAGUUCUCCCACCACCACUUAUUGAAGAGGCUGUCUUCUCCAUUGUAUAUUCUUGCCUCCUUUAUCAAAGAUAAGGUGACCAUAUGUGCAUGGGUUUAUCUCUGGGCUUUUUAUCCUGUUCCAUUGAUCUAUAUUUCUGUUUUUGUGCCAGUACCAUACUGUCUUGAUUACUGUAGCUUUGUAGUAUACAAUGGAGUCAGGGAGCCUGAUUCCUCCAGCUCCAUUUUUUUUUCUCAAGAUUGCUUUGGCUAUUUGGGGUCUUCUGUGUUUCCAUACAAAUUGUGAAAUUUUUUGUUCUAGUUCUGUGAAAAAUACCAGUGGUAGUUUGAUAGGGAUUGCAUUGAAUAUGUAGAUUGCUUUGGGUAGUAGAUUCAUUUUCACAAUGUUGAUUCUUCCAAUCCAAGAACAUGGUAUAUCUCUCCAUCUGUUUGUAUCACCUUUAAUUUCUUUCAUCAGUGUCUUAUAGUUUUCUGAAUACAGAUCUUUUGUCUCCCUAGGUAGGUUUAUUCCUAGGUAUUUUAUUCUUUUUGUUGCAAUGGUAAAUGGGAGUGUUUCCUUAAUUUCUCUUUCAGAUUUUUCAUCAUUAGUGUAUAGCAAUGCAAGAGAUUUCUGUGCAUUGAUUUUGUAUCCUGCUACUAUACUAAAUUCAUUGAUUAGCUCUAGUAGUUUUCUGGUAGCAUCUUUAGGAUUCUCUAUGUAUAGUAUCAUGUCAUCUGCAAACAGUGACAGUUUUACUUCUUUUCCAAUUUGUAUUCCUUUUAUUUCUUUUUCUUCUCUGAUUGCUGUGGCUAAAACUUCCAAAACUAUGUUGAAUAAUAGUGGUGAGAGUGGGCAACCUUGCCUUCUUCAUGAUCUUAGUGGAAAUGGUUUCAAUUUUUCACCAUUGACAAUGAUGUUGGCUGUGGGUUUGUCAUAUAUGGCCUUUAUUAUGUUGAAGUAAGUUCCCUCUAUGUAUACUUUCUCGAGGGUUUUUGUCAUAAAUCGGUGUUGAAUGUUGUUGAAAGCUUUUUCUGCAUCUAUUUAGAUGAUCAUAUGGUUUUUAUCUUUCAAUUUGUUAAUAUGGUUUAUCACAUUGAUUGAUUUGCAUAUAUUGAAGAAUCCUUGCAUUCCUGGGAUACACCCCACUUGAUCAUGGUGUGUGAUCCUUUAAAUGUGAUGUUGGAUUCUGUUUGCUAGUAUUUUGUUGAGGAUUUUUGCAUCUAUGUUCAUUAGUGACAUUGGCCUGUAGUUUUCUUUCUUUGUGACAUCUUUGUCUGAUUUUGGUAUCAGGGUGAUGGUGGCCUCGUAGAAUGAAUUUGGGAGUGUUCCUCCCUUUGCUAUAUUUUGGAAGAGUUUGGGAAGGAUAGGUAUUAGCUCUUCUCUAAAUGUUUGACAGAAUUUACCUGUGAAGCCAUCUGGUCCUGGACUUUUGUUUGUUGGAAGAUUUUUAAUCACAGUCUUAAUUUCAGUGCUUGUGAUUGGCCUGUUUGUAUUUUCUAUUUCUUCCUGGUUCAGUCUCAGGAGGUUGUGCAUUUCUAAGAAUUUGCCCAUUUCUUCCAGGUUGUCCAUUUUAUUGGCAUAUAGUUGCUUGUAGUAAUCUCUCAUGAUCCUUUGUAUUUCUGCAGUGUCAGUUGUUACUUCUCCUUUUUCAUUUUUAUUCUACUGAUUUCAGUCUGCUCCCUUUUUUUCUUGAUGAGUUUGGCUAAUGGUUUAUCAAUUUUGUUUAUCUUCUCAAAGAAACCUCUUUUAGUUUUAUUGAUCUUUGCCUAUCAUUUCCUUCAUUUCUUUCUCAUUUAUUUCUGAUCUGAUCUUUAUGAUUUCUUUCCUUCUGCUAACUUUGGGUUUUUUUGUUCUUCUUUCUCUAAUUGCUUUAGGUGUAAAGUUAGGUUGUUUAUUUGAGAUGUUUCUUGUUUCUUGAGGUAGGAUUGUAUUGCUAUAAACUUCUCUCUUAGAACUGCUUUUGCUACAUCCCAUAGGUUUUGGGUUGUUGUGUUUUCAUUGUCAUUUGCUCCUAGGAAUUUUUUGAUUUCCUCUUUGAUUUCUUCAGUGAUCUCUUGCUUAUUUAGUAGCGUAUUGUUUAGCCUCCAUGUGUUUGUAUUUUUUACAGAUUUUUUUUCCUGUAAUUGAUAUCUAGUCUCAUAGCGUUGUGAUCAGAAAAGUUACUUGAUACAAUUUCAGUUUUCUUAAAUUUACCAAGGCUUGACUAGUGACCCAAGAUAUGGUCUAUCCUGGAGAAUGUUCCAAGAGCACUUGAGAAGAAAGUAUAAUCUGAUGUUUUUGGAUGGAAUGUCCUAUAAAUAUCAAUUAAGUCCAUCUUGUUUAAUGUAUCAUUUAAAGCUUGUGUUUCCUUAUUUAUUUUCAUUUUGGAUGAUCUGUCCAUUGGUGAAAGUGGGGUGUUAAAAUCCCUUACUAUUAUUGUGUUACUGUUGAUUUCCCCUUUUAUGGCUGUUAGCAUUUGCCUUAUGUAUUGAGGUGCUCCUUUUUUGGGUGCAUAAAUAUUUACAAUUGUUAUAUCUUCUUCUUGGAUUGAUCUCUUGAUCAUUAUGUAGUGUCCUUCUUUGUCUCUUGUAAUAGUCUUUAUUUUGAAGUCUAUUUUUUCUGAUAUGAGAAUUGCUACUCCAGCUUUCUUUUGAUUUCCAUUUGAGUAGAAUAUCUUUUUCCAUCCCCUCACUUUCAGUCUGUAUGUGUCCCUAGGUCUGAGGUGGGUCUCUUAUAGACAGCAUAUGCAGCUCAAUAUCAAAAAAACAACCCAAUCCAAGAAUGGGCAGAAGACCUAAAUAGACAUUUCUCCAAAGAAGAUAUACAGAUUGCCAACAAACACAUGAGAGGGUGCUCAGCAUCACUAAUCAUUAGAGAAAUGCAAAUCAAAACUAUAAUGAGUUAUCACCUCACACCUGUCAGAAUGGCCAUCAUCAAAAAAUCUACAAACAAUAAAUGCUGGAGAGGGUGUGGAGAAAAGGGAACCCUCUUGCACUGUUGGUAGGAAUGUAUAUUGAUACAGCUACGAUGGAGAACAGUAUGGAGGGUCCUUAAAAAACUAAAAAUAGAACAACCAUACGACCUACCAAUCCCACUACUGGGCAUAUACCCUGAGAAAACCAUAAUUCAAAAAGAGUCAUGUACCCCAAUGUUUAUUGCAGCUCUAUUUCCAAUAGCCAGGACAUGGAAGCAACCUAAGUGUCCACUGAAAGAUGAACAGAUAAAGAAGAUGUGGCACAUAUAUACAAUGGAAUAUUAGCCAUAAAAGGAAAUGAAAUUGAGUUAUUUGUAGUGAGGUGGAUGGACCUUAGAGACUGUCAUACAGAGUGAAGUACAUCAGAAAGAGAAAAACAAAUACUGUAUGCUAACACAUAUAUAUGGAAUCUAAAAAAAAAAUAUUGGGUCUGAAGAACCUAGGGGCAGGACAGGAAUAAAGGCGUGGACAUAGAGAAUGGACUUGAGCACCCGAGGAGGGGGUAGGGUAAGCUGGGACGCAGUGAGAGAGUGACAUCGACAUAUAUACACUACCAAAAGUAAAACAGAUAGCUAGUGGGAAGUAACCACAUAGCACAGGGAGAUCAGCUCAGUGCUUUGUGUCCACCUAGAGGGAUGGGAUAGGGAUGGUGGGAGGGAGAUGCAAGAGGGAGGACAUAUGGGGAUGUAUAUAUAUAUGUAUAGCUGAUUGACUUUGUUAUAAAGCAGAAACACACCAUAGUAAAGCAAUUAUACUCCAAUAAAGAUGUUAAAAAAUUUUUUUAAUAAAAAGGGAAAAUUUGGACACAUACACACACACACAGGGAGAACACCAUGUGCAGAUGAAGGCUGAGAUCAGGGUGAAGCAAACCACUGGCAAACCACCAGAGGUUAGGAGGGAGGAUGGGGGCAGAUUCUCUCCCAUAGGCCUUGGAAGGAACCAACCCUACUGACACCUUGAUUUAGGACUACUAGCCUCCAGAACAGUGAGACAAUAAAUUUCUGUUGUUUAAGGCACCUAAUCUGUGAAACUUUGUCAUAGAAUCCCUAAGAAACAAAUGUAAGUCCCUACAUGUCUUUUGUGCCCAGAGAUCAAAGGGACUGCUACUGAGCAAACUACAAGUUGCAACAUGGGAUCCAUGAACUCCUUUCCUGCUAUUUUAACCUGGAUAGAGACUUCAAAAUCUCCCAAGAAUUUUGUAUUCAUAGCUAUAAUAAAGAAAAGAAAACCAGGUAGGCGAAGAAGAAAAAUCUAAGCUUCCCUUCUUGCUCCAAUUACUCUGCCUUUCAAAAACUAGUUAAUCGUGGGGCUAGUUUUCAUUAUAGGUGAGGAGAUAGAGAACAAGUAGAAUUAGAAUAGUAAUAGAGUCAGAAUAAUUAAGAAAUAAAACCUAUACCUGGCAAAGAACCAAGGGAGUGCCCUCCCUUGUAUGUUUACUUUGUGUAUAUCCUUUUAUGUAAAAAUAGUUCAUUGCAUCACAUUUAAUUUUAGUAGCAGGGAAACACAGGCUUAUUAUUUACCUGUGAGCCUGACUACAGAUUCAAGGGCCUUCUGAAAUUCAGAAUCACAUGAACUCCAAGUUAUUCCAGGCCUCCUCCUCUCUCCUCUGUAAACAAUGAAGAAAUGAGCACCAACAGGCAGAAGGAAGAAAAAGGAGCCUCUUACCUCCAUGCUUGUGCUGAACGCUCUAGUAACUUUCGCUUUGAUGGUUAUAACUUGUCCAACUCUAGAUAAAAAAAAAAAAACAGUAAUUCUAGCACAUCUCAUUUCAGACUUGGAGAUUCACUUAAAUGUGUGUGCCAUAAAACAGUUCCACCUUAUGCUGAUAAUGUUCAUGCAUGAGAAACUCAAUAACGUAACGAGACAGCACUAAAAAUAGAUACUGAUUAUUGUAAACCACACAAGAGUUAGCUGACUACCUCUUUUUAACAGAAAACGGCCUUUGCAAAGAUGGUGUGCAAAAUGAUUUCCAAAUCUACAACAGAUACUUGACUGUACCACAGCUGUUUGGUUAAGAGAAAACGAACACACAUGCAAACCUAUACAACUGAUAUUUUUAAAUGUUGGUUAACAAAUAAAUGGUAAACAUACAAGCAAGCAAACAAACUGAAUACCUUCACUCAGUUUACAGGAGCCCUCAAUGUUGCCAGAUGAUCCAUUCACUCCACAUUAUUACUGGGACUCUGGUCAUGUAACCCUAGUUGUUUCAAAGCUUUUGUGUUCUGGCCCUUCAGUCACCUAAGGGUCUACCCAAUAUAAGCCUCCUCAAUUUUUCUCCCUGACUUCAAAUUCGAACUACAUUCUCACUAUUCUUCUCAAUCUUCUAUUUCAGGGGAAGAAAAAUAGAUCUCUUCCAGACCUCUUUCUUUACCCGUGCCCUUGAUCCCGUCCUACUCUUACCUUUCCUCCUGCACCAUGGCCUGGCUUAGGCAGCUCUUUCCUCUUUUGUACCCUCAAUCUCUGCCCCUUCCUUGACUCCUUAUCAGUCUGUGAAAAUGUUCAAGGCUUUUCCUUGCUAAAAAUCUUUCUCUCAAGUUUAUUCUAUCACAACAUUUUUUUCUCUUCUCCUCUAUAUUUCUCCAUAUUCAAACUUCCUAAAAUAAUCUUUUUCUUUUUCCAGCUCAUACAUUUAACAAAUGUUUACUGAGUUACAACUAGUCCUGGCGCGAAACUAAGACCUCAGGAUACAAUGAUUAACAAGAUAAGGUUGAUGACAUCAAGGAGACCAGUCUUCACUUGGGACAUCAGGAUGCAGACAGAUGAAGUGCAACGCUAUGAAAUUUUUCAAAAGGAAGAAAGAAUCAAGUAUUGCAAAAACACCCAGAAGUGACUAAUGUGAAAAGUCAGGGAAGGAGCCAUAGAAGAGUGUGACAGAUAUGAAUUCAACAGGACCAGUCUGUUCUGGUUCUUGGUUUUGAUUGCCCUUCAUGCAGUAUGCCAGUAAAAGUGGAAAAACCCUAAAGCUAUUUCUGAUUUCCUGGGGAAACUGAGAGAAGCUGAGGAACAGCUAAGUGGAUAUAGUCCAGACAGUCACAAACUUGCAGAAAAGUGGAAGUACCAUACAAAGAUGUGCUUGUUGCUGUUGGAGUGUCACUGCUCCCAGGCCCUCACUGUGGACACAGCUACAAAGUAAAUUUUGAAAUCAGUUUUUCAGCCAUGCAGCUGACUGGGCUAGAGAUGCGAAACCUCCACAGUCAUCAGUGUGUCUUUAAAUCAGGCCACCGCUCGGUCCCCACAAGGUCUCACCGGCAUGAGCCCUGCCUGGGUGCUGUGGGGCACGCAAAGCAGCAUCAGAGAGAUCCAGCAAAAGGAAAUUUGCAGACAUGAUUAAGUUAACGAUCUGGAGAUGGAGAUAUUAUCCUUGGUGGACCAAAUGUCAUCACAAGCGUCCUUCUAAGAGAGAAUCAGGAGGUCAGAGAAGAGAGAAGAUGCUUUGCUGCUGGUUUUGAAGAUGGAAGAAGGGGCCACAACCCAAAGAAUGUAGGUGGCUUCCAGAAGAGGAGAAAAGUCAGGAAAGCAGAUUCUCCUCAAGAGCUCCAGAAGAAAAGUGGCCGUGAUGACUGAUUUUGGACUUUGAUCUCUAGAACUAUUAAAGGAUAAAUUGUGCUGUGUUAAGCUACUGUUUGUGUUCUUUUUUUUUUUUUUUUUUUUUUUUACAGGAGCAAUAGGAAACAAAUACACGUUCCCUUACAGGUAAUUUACACCAUUAGAGUUUUGUUCCUUUUUGCAGAGGAACUGGGGAUAUUUGGAUGUAUUGAACAUGUUCAUGCCACACUGAAAAAACUUACUAUGAGGAUGAAUUAAAAGGUAGAAGGACAAAUGGUUGUCCACUACUCUGCUAGCUUGGGGAAGACAAGAUGGAAAAACAGGAUAAUAAGUUAGAGACCUUAGCCUCACAUGUUGCAAAGCUAGGAGGACACUAGAUGCCACAGAUUAAGAUUCAGGUGAUGACAAAACCUGAUUAAGCUAAGAGGUAGAAUGUGUGGGAAAGUAAUGAGAAUAAAAGGGAGUAAAAGAAGCUUUUAAAAAUACAGACUGCUGUAGCCAAAAAUCGAUUUGUACAAAACUACUAGGAAUAAUAAGAAUGAAAGAAAAUGACUAUAUAUGAAAAGUAGCAUGUAUGUUUUUGGUAAAAGAAGGUAAGAGGAGUGGAGGAAUUAUUCUAAGAGAAAAAUCCAGGGUCAAGGUGUAUAUUUUCCUGCUGUAUUGUGUUUCUGUUUCCUAUGCUAGUGUGAUCAAUCAUCAGAGAAACUGUUUGGGUUAGAAAACUUUGAUUAAAAUAUUUGACUCUCAGACUUCC